AGGAGUGUGGUGAAAAAGGUAAACACGUUUGGUUUAGGUCCAAGUUUUUAUAGGUUCAAGUCCUAUCGUUCUUA
rnacentral:tRNA from 1 species